GUGUCAGUAUGGCCUCCGUGGUUGGAUUAAGUCCCACAGUGUCACAAUGGCCCCUUGGUUCCAUUAAGCCCCACAGGGUCACCAUGGUCUCCUGGUUACAGGAGGCCCUGCAGUGUCACAAGGGCCCCUUUGGUUCUAUGGAACCCACUGGGUCAGAUUUGCCACUGGGCAGGGUCAGCACCCAGGACACAAACACCAACUAAUGGAAUUGUGUAGUUUAUAUAAUGUAUGUCUGCAAGAAUUUACAAAAGUUGAAGCUCAGCAAAGCACAUAAUCAUUAGGAAAUUAUUACAAAAGGAGCAGCUCAGCAAUGCACGCAACCAUGACCACCACAGAUUGUUUGCAGUGAUUAAGAAAGAUCCAGCACCAGUUCCCCUCAGGCUGUGCCAUCCCCCAGAUCCACACAGCAGCAGGGGGAAGCUGUCCCAGCCAAGGGCUGCAGAGCCACUCCUGGACACUGGGAAUUCCUGCAGGUGCCUCCAGCCACAGAAGAGCCAUCAUCUGCUUUCCAACCACCGUGACAGACAGACUGAGAUGGGUGAAGCCUCCCUCUCAAGGACUGAGACAUGAAAUCUCUCUAUGGAGAAGCUCCCCUCUGCCAAGGAGAGAGACUGAAACCUGUAACACGGGGGAGGUGUGUGGGGGAGCCAACCUGACCAAAAGUGAGAUGUUUGCCUGCAGGUGUGGCCAUUGGACCAAGAAGACAAUGGUUCUCACCUAUUGCUGAGGACACAGACUGGCUGUACCUUCUUUUCCCCUCAGUGAUCAAUGGACUUCUUCUUUAUUGGAUCUGUUCCCCCUCAGUGAUUUCAAGAUCUGUUCCCUCCUUAGGAAUGGACUAUACUAGAACCUUGAGUUAACCAGGUGUUCUUAAAUUCUUCCUCACAUGACAAAAGGGAUGUAUUAGCCAGACCAUGAGGAUUUUGUCUCUCUGUUGGUAGCAAUAUUCUGCCUCCUCUCUCUCUCUCUCUCUCUCUCUCUCUCUAUCCUUUAUCUCUUUUCUAAUCCUUCUAUUGCAUUUGCUGUGGGCACUCAAUAAAAGGUGCAUUUGUGUUGAUGAAUACUGAAA